GUCUCAGUAGCUCAGUCAGGUAGAGCACAUGACUGUUAAUCAUGGGGUCGGAGGUUCGAGUCCUCCCUGAGACG
rnacentral:tRNA from 1 species